GGAUACGGGAAAGCAGAGAAUUGCUCUGGCAACGAGGGUUAUCUAAUGAGUAGCCCGCGAAGAAAGCGGAAGUAACAGCUGUGCAUUCUCCAUCUGCAGCAAGAAAGAGAUCGCCGAAUUUUUAACGCUGAACGAAUCGAGUUGCUUAUUCAAAGACAAUGCAUGCCAUGUCAUUUCUGUGCCGAACAAAGCGGCGAACCUCCCGGGAGAUGUGAUGGAUGGGCCAACGUUCUGUAAGGAAUACUACAAGCCGCCCAGGUACAAGAACUCCACUUACAUAAAGCUUGAUGCCGACCUCAAACAGUGCGUAUUUCGGUGUUUGGUAUACGAUACUCACAGCAAGAUGCAGAGGCAGAACCUCACGUCCUUUGCGAUAGAUGGCUCACCCUGCUCUGAAUCUGAGCCGCGAAAGAUAUGCCACAACAUGGUCUGCGUUGACCCCUAGUGAAAUAGUGCGACAUUGCUGAGAGAACAAACAUACAGUUUGGCACUUCACCACUCCGAUGUUCAC
rnacentral:lncRNA from 1 species